rnacentral:rRNA from 1 species
AACCAGACUCCUACGGGAGGCAGCAGUGAGGAAUAUUGGUCAAUGGGCGGGAGCCUGAACCAGCCAAGCCGCGUGAGGGAAGAAGGUACAGCGUAUCGUAAACCUCUUUUGCCGGGGAGCAAGGGCGGGGACGUGUCCCGGCCCGGAGAGUACCCGGAGAAAAAGCAUCGGCUAACUCCGUGCCAGCAGCCGCGGUAAUACGGAGGAUGCGAGCGUUAUCCGGAUUUAUUGGGUUUAAAGGGUGCGUAGGCGGAAUGCCAAGUCGGGGGUAAAAUCGCGGGGCUCAACCUCGCUCCGCCGUUGAAACUGGCGUUCUUGAGUGGGCGAGAAGUAUGCGGAAUGCGUGGUGUAGCGGUGAAAUGCAUAGAUAUCACGCAGAACUCCGAUUGCGAAGGCAGCAUACCGGCGCCCAACUGACGCUGAAGCACGAAAGCGUGGGGAUCGAACAGGAUUAGAUACCCCUGUACUU